UGGUGGAGCGAUUUGUCUGGUUAAUUCCGAUAACGAACGAGACCUUAUCCUGCUAAAUAGGCGGGCGAUCCUCACGGAUCGUCACGAUCUUCUUAGAGGGACUACCGGUAUCUAGCCGGAGGAAGUUUGAGGCAAUAACA
rnacentral:rRNA from 1 species